GUGCAGUGGUUAAGAAUCCACCUGCCAAUGCAGGGGACACAGGUUCGAUCCUGGUCUGGGAAGAUCCCACGUGCCGCAGAACAACUAAGCCUGUGUGCCACAACUACUGAGCCUGCGCUCUAGAGCCCGUGAGCCACAACUACUGAGCCCAUGUGCCACAACUACUGAAGCCUGUGCUCCACAACAAGAAGCCACUGCAGUGAGAAGCCCACGCACCGCAAUGAAGAGUAGCCCCCGCUCGCUGCAACUAGAGAUAGCCUGCACGCAGCAACGAAGACCCAACACAGCCAAAAAUAAUGACAAAUUAGUCAAUGUUAAAAUUAAGAACCGAUAAAGACUUGACCCAGACACAUCAAGGAGUGAGUAUAUUUACAACACAUACUUAGAACCAACAAAGAAGUGAUAUACUGAAUAUAUAUACAAACCAGUGAGAAAAAAAAGACAAUACAAUAGAAACGUGGGCAAAAGGAACUUCAUGAGAGUGGAAAUUCAAUAAAAAUAUGAAGAGACUCAACUUCAUCAUGGAAAUGCAAAUUAAACAGUGAAACAUCACUGCGUGCCCAUCAGAUUGACAAAAAUGUUCAAAUUGGACUCUAUUAAGUGUUAGAAUGUGGAGGGGUAUGCACGCUGCCGGUAAGGUGUGAAUGGGUGCAGCCACAACACGCAAAGCGCGAGCAUGUGCACACUCCAUGACCCAGCACGUCUGUGACAGCCCGAUGUCCGUCACCAGCAGAACGGAUAAUUUGUGAUAUGUGAUGAAACAACGAGAAUUUACACAAUAACAUUUCAGACAUCAAACAAUGUGCGGGAAAAAAAUAACAAAAAAAGUAUAAUUCCCUUUCUCUGAAUUUCAAAAUCAUGCAAAUCCAGACUAUGUAGAGACAUGUCUACAGGUGGUAAAACUGAUUUUUAAAGCAAGGGAAGGGACUUCCUGGCGGUCCAGUGGUUAGGACUCUGCGCUUCACUGCAGGGGGCAUGGGCUCAAUCCCUGGCUGGGGAGCUAAGAUCCUGCAAGGCCACAUGGUGCAGCCAAAAAUUAAAAAACAAUUUUUUUUAAUUAAAAAAAAAAGCAAGGGAAGAAUUUUCACAAAGAUCAGGACAGUGAUUCCCUGUGAACAGGAAAGGAGAGGACACACAGGGACUCUUCUAAGGCACUGGCAACGUUUAUUUCUCCACUUGGGUGGGUGCAGAGGUAUGUGACUAUUUUUAAAUCAGCUUUAUUGAGGUGUAAUUUACAACAGUAAAAUCACACCCAUUGUAAGUGUACAAUUUGAUGACUCUUGACAAAUGUCUAUAAUUGUUUAGCAACCACCUCAAUCAAGACGUGGAGCAUUUCCAUCCCCCGCCCCCCCCCCCCCCCCGCCCGGCUCCCUGUGUCCUUCUGCAAUACCCCAUCCCCAACCCCAGGCAACCACUAUCUGCUUUUUGUUGUUAUAGUUUUGUCUUUUCCAAAAUGUCAUAUAGGGACUUCCCUGGUGGUGCAGUGGUUAAGAAUCCACCUGCCAGUGCAGAGGACACAGGUUCAAGCCCUGCUCCGGGAAGAUCCCACAUGCCACAGAGCAACUAAGCCCAUGAGCCACAACUACUGAGCCCGCGUGCCACAACAACUGAAGCCCGUGCACCUAGAGGCCACACUCUGCAACAAGAGAAGCCACCACAACUAGAGAAAGCCCGCACACAGCAACGAAGACCCAACACAGCCAAAAAUAAAUAAAUAAAAUAAACUUAUUAAAAAAAAUUUUUUUUUAAAUGUCAUAAGUGAAAUCACACAGUAAGGUCUCUUGUGUCACGUUUCUUUCACACAGCAAAAUGCAUCCAAGUUGUAUGGAUUUUUGCUUAUUACUCUAAAAAACAUGUUUUAUCUUUGUUUCACUGAAUAAAAAGUUAUUUUAAAAAGUCA